rnacentral:tRNA from 1 species
GCCUGCUUGGCUUAGUGGUAAAGCACCGCACUCGUAAUGCGGGGAUCCAAGGUUCAAUUCCUUGAGUAGGCA